rnacentral:rRNA from 1 species
AGUGAACGCUGGCGGUAGGCCUAACACAUGCAAGUCGAACGGCAGCACAGUAAGAUCUUGCUCUUACGGGUGGCGAGUGGCGGACGGGUGAGGAAUACAUCGGAAUCUACUUUUUCGUGGGGGAUAACGUAGGGAAACUUACGCUAAUACCGCAUACGACCUACGGGUGAAAGCAGGAGUUCUUCGGACUUUUCGCGAUUGAAUUAGCCGAUGUCGGAUUAGCUAGUUGGCGGGGUAAAGGCCCACCAAGGCGACGAUCCGUAGCUGGUCUGAGAGGAUGAUCAGCCACACUGGAACUGAGACACGGUCCAGACUCCUACGGGAGGCAGCAGUGGGGAAUAUUGGACAAUGGGCGCAAGCCUGAUCCAGCAAUACCGCGUGAGUGAAGAAGGCCUUCGGGUUGUAAAGCCCUGUUGUUGGGAAAGAAAAGCAGCAGGUUAAUACCCCGCUGUUCUGACGGUACCCAAAGAAUAAGCACCGGCUAACUUCGUG